rnacentral:lncRNA from 10 species
GGAAUGUGUCUGUGUAUGGAAUGUGUGUCUGUGUGUACAGAAUGUGUCUGUGUAUGUGUAUGGAAUGUGUCUGUGUGUGUAUGGAAUGUGUGUGUAUGGAAUGUGUGUGUGUAUGGAAUGUGUGUGUGUGCAUGGAAUGUGUGUCUGUGUAUGUGUGUGUGUAUGUAUGUGUGUAUGGAAUGUGUGUGUAUGGAAUAUGUGUGUGUAUGGAAUGUGUGUGUGUGUUUGGAAUGU